AGGACGAACGCUGGCGGCGUGCUUAACACAUGCAAGUCGAGCGGAAAGGCCCUUCGGGGUACUCGAGCGGCGAACGGGUGAGUAACACGUGAGUAACCUGCCCUACGCUCUGGGAUAGCUCCGGGAAACCGGGAUUAAUACCAGAUACGACCACUUUAGACAUCUGUCGUGGGUGGAAAGGAUUCCGGCUAGGGAUGGGCUCGCGGCCUAUCAGCUUGGUUGGUGGGGUAACCGGCCUACCGAAGGCGACGACGGGUA
rnacentral:rRNA from 1 species